UCAGGUUGGAAUGCGAGAGGUGAAAGGGUGCCCGACAGAAGAAGCAAGCCGGAAAAAACAAAGAGACAUGGAGACAUACAGGUGAAUAGUGUACACUGCUGUCAAAUGCGCUAGAAGAAGGAUUAUUCUAGUGCACGAUCAUGAGCUUCCAUCACGAAGGCAAGGUAGGAGAGCGCCGCUCACCACGCCGGCAUCGCGCGGGUCUGAACCCGGAGGAGCGUCGCACAGACAACGCACGCACGGAACCUUCGAUCGGCACGGCCUGCUUAACCGUCGUUCCCGGAGAGCGAAAAAAAGAAAGAAGGGCGACGGGGAAACACCCCUCCAGUGAGCGCCAGAAAAUAAAUAAACGAACAAACGAAGGAAACCGAUCGCUUCCUCUCCGCUUCUGUUCUUCCGCGUUUUCAAGGCCAAGGAGAGAGUCUCUUCCCGAUCGCACAGCGGGCGCAGCCGCCGAGACACCGGGGGGCGCA